GACGAACGCUGGCGGCGUGCUUAACACAUGCAAGUCGAACGGAAAGACCCUGCUUUUGUGGGGUGCUCGAGUGGCGAACGGGUGAGUAACACGUGAGUAACCUGCCCUUGACUUUGGGAUAACUUCAGGAAACUGGGGCUAAUAUCGGAUAGGAGCUCCUGCUGCACGGUGGGGGUUGGAAAGUUUCGGCGGUUGGGGAUGGACUCGCGGGUUAUCAGCUUGUUGGUGGGGUAGUGGCUUACCAAGGCUUUGACGGGUAGCCGGCCUGAGAGGGUGACCGGCCACAUUGGGACUGAGAUACGGCCCAGACUCCUACGGGAGGCAGCAGUGGGGAGUAUUGCACAAUGGGCGGAAGCCUGAUGCGGCAACGCCGCGUGCGGGAUGACGGCCUUCGGGUUGUAAACCGCUUUCGCCUGUGACGAAGCGGGAGUGACGGUAAUGGGUAAAGAAGCACCGGCUAACUACGUG
rnacentral:rRNA from 1 species